rnacentral:tRNA from 1 species
UGGGGUGUAGCCAAGCGGUAAGGCACCGGGUUUUGAUCCCGUGAUCGCAGGUUCGAUCCCUGCCACCCCAGCCA